UACGGGGGGAGCAAGCGUUGUUCGGAUUUACUGGGCGUAAAGGGCGCGUAGGCGGCGCAACAAGUCACUUGUGAAAUCUCCGGCUUAACCCGGAGCGGCCAAGUGAUACUGUCGUGCUAGAGUGCGGAAGGGGCUACUGGAAUUCUCGGUGUAGCGGUGAAAUGCGUAGAUAUCGAGAGGAACACCUGCGGCGAAGGCGGGUAGCUGGGCCGACACUGACGCUGAGGCGCAGAAGAGCCAGGGGAGGACGGAACGGG
rnacentral:rRNA from 1 species